AAAAGACUUCGAAAAGGAAAUUAUUUUAUAAAAUCCAAAAAAGGUCAUAACAAGUCUUGGCUCAAAAAUAAGAAAUAUUUACUAUAUCCUCAUUUUAUUAGGACUAAAAAAUAAAUGCUUAAAGAAAUACUCAUGGAGAUUUACAAGUCAUGAUAUUGUCAGAAAGCAGCCCAAUUGAUACUCUUCUGAAUUCUCAUUUUUUACAGUAAAAUACAAAUUAAAAUUUUCAAAACAUAAAUUACUGAUUGAUACCAAAUGAAAUUUUGAAUAUGUAUUCUCUUUCAAAAUCUGGAAUGCAUUUUGGAAAGCAAAACAAACAGGUUCCUUAUCCUCUAAACUCACAGAGCAUACAUAAAUUAAUCCACUAGCAAUUACGGAUGCGGUGCUCAUGGGAAAACAAAUAACAGAAACAAGCAUCCAUCUGACAACCGACCUGCUUUCCUAUCUCAUCCAUAAUAAUCAUCCUAGGCAAUGAUUGAACCUGCACAAAAUAUUUUGUCAUAAUCUUAGCAGAGAAUCUAGUCAAAUCAUGGUGGUGAGGUAAUUAAUGCUUGAAAAUACCAAUUUUGAAAGAGAUCCCAGAGUUGUGGCGCUUGAGUGAAUAUUAAAACACGUAUGUUGCCGUGACAAGACAUCCAAUUCCCUGCAGAAUAAUUAUGAUCAAUGAGAAAUAUGCUCACGUUGAGCUACAACUUUGAGUUCUCCAAGACAUUAAGAAUUUUAUAAUUAAUAUAGACAAAUUCUAUAGAUAUAGAAGUCUUAAAAAUUCAGUAAAAGAAAAACACGUGAGCAACAAAAUGAGGUGUGAAGAAUUCUAGAACAAAACUAAUUAAUUUCACAAUGACAAACAGCCAGCUGGUGAAAAUUGCUGUUUUCAGCUUCUACUGCAGUACUUAUUGCUAGUUUUUAAUAUGCAGUAAAUGAAAAGUACGGGUAAUAGAGCAUAUUUAUUAAUCCCUAUAUUCUUGACCAUUUUCUCACCAUUCUGUGAAGCCUUUUUCACUGGCUAAAAGACUGUACGUGCCCAUUGCACCCACAUGAAGACUACCAGAUUUUAGACCAAAAAGUUGCCGGAAUUGCCCCACAAAAACUUCAAAAACUUUCUGAAGGUCCUGUUUCGGAAGAUGCAAGCGUCAAAGUUGAGAUACAUAAAUAAAAGCAAUCUGCUACAAUAGAACACGGGUUUCUAGUCACUUCAGCUAGAGAAACAAAUACAAACGAUUUCGUACAAUCCUCAAUUACAUAAAUAAAUCACUUUGAUUCCCCAGCCCAAAAAAAAGUUGCAGAUUGUUCUGUAAUACUGGAAAUAAAUAAGCAGCAAAGGCAUAUUAUUUCUCUUCUUAACUUUAUACACUAAGUUGAGAUCGAAUCAACUAGCAAACAAAGCAGGUUUGACAACAGUAUCCCUUAGACUUUGUAAGCAUAACAGGGCAAAAGUACUGACUGAAUGUAUACCAAGAGAAACUUGGAUGAUAGAUGUAGACUAGAUUGCCAGGAACCUAGAAUAAGGUUUUAUAAGAAACCCAACGGGUAGCAACCCAAUCCGUGUGAUUGUAAAAUGAACAAUAAAACAAAUGAGCCACCAAAAUGAAACAAGUUUCAAAGCCACUAGCUGGUAUUUGAGUUAUGCUUCAAUGAACUUUGGAUAUCAUUUUAAACUUCAAUUUAUCAAACUUGACAACACAGUGAUAAAAUUUAAAUGAGAAGGCAUGUUUCAGCCAAACAGGGCAGAUACUGAACUUGGCAUGACAUAUGAGAUAGAAUAAAAAAGGGGUCAAGAUUGGGAACAUUUCGGUUUCAAGUGGAACACCCAGGCCAAUUUUCAUGCCGAUGAAAAAAAUUGCAUAUGUAGACUAGACGCUCUAGGAUAAUUUUAUAGAUAAAAAUCUGACCUCAGGAGACAUUAUAUGCCUAACAAGAAGCUCACUGUCUGAAUCCCUUGAACAGCUUUGAGGAUUCCACACCAUGACACCUCCCCACAUCUGUGAUAUGACAUUUAGAGACAAAUUACAAUGUAUGGCAAUAAUUUUGUAAGAAUCAUUGGUUGAUAGACAAUUGAGUACGAAGCCAAUAAAUGUGUGAUAACUAACUGGAGAUAUAAAGGCAUUUGUUUUAGAAAUCUCUCCAUUUGGAAGCUGUAGAAGAAGGGGACAUUCCUUUGCAGAUGGCACAUAUCUGAAACAAAAAGGAAAGAGAAUUGAUAUAGCAAGCUUUGGAUGAAACAAAAUCCUUUUAUCUCCUUAAACUAAUGACUGGAGAUUAAGCCUUUGUUACCAGAAACAAACACGAAAAAGUCAUUUGAAAAAGGGAAGGAGAUUGAGUAAAAGAAUGUACACCACAAAUUGCAAGAUUUUCGAUCGCCCACCAGCAGCAAUAGAAGUAUCCAAGUGCCACUCAUUUGAGUUCACCUAUUAAAAAUAUUUGAAAACAUUAGAAACAUUAGACAAAAUAACAAGAUCAAAAGUCCAUCAUCAGUGAGUAAAGUAAGAAAAUGUAUACAACCAAAGCAAAUCAUCUGAGGGCUGGGACCAAGGUGUUGUUUGGUUUAAGCAAAGUUAAAUGGUCUAACUGUCUAGUUUCCCAAAAAAUAAAGCUCAGGAACAUGAAGAAACUUACAAAGAAAGGAAGAUCCUUUGUACUAAAAAUAUAGCCACCUAAUUUUUCAUCCCAAGAAGAAACUGAAAACUUUGGAGUAUGGUACAAAACCUAUCCAUAAGAAAGAUCACCAAGAAGAGGAAACACAGUAAGAUUUCAACUGCAAACAAAAUUACCAUAAAUACCAGGAAUCCAUAAAUCAUUAAGGAACAAGGAUGAUUCAUUACUUGGCUCUCCACGCUUAUGUUUGCUAUCGGUCCCAACGCAUCAAUCAUAGGAGCCAACAGAGUUUCAUCUAUUUUCCGAAAAUCCCUGCAAUACAAUGGACUAACUGAACACGCAAUAACUUUGAGCAGACAACUAAAUCCCUAUUUACAAUAGUUCCCAAGAUAGCAAGCAAACACAAAUUCCAUGUAUAUGUACUAUACCUACCCAUAACGACACCUGUUUCACGAGUAAUCACACAGAUGCUAGUUUCAAUCACUAAUCACCACCGAGUUAGACAGAAAGCUAUAAAGAACUACAAGAAAGCGAAGCUUCCUUACCAAUCGUAAGUCCAAUCACUGGGAUCCGCAUUGAGCAAGUUAAACGAAAGAACAAUCCUCCCAUCAGCACCAACAGGCAUAAACUCCCCAUGAAUCAACCCUUCCUCUCUCCCGCCAUUCACAAACACUCUGACAAAAAUCUCCGCCAAUCUCUCUGCCACUUCUUCAACUCCCCAAUCCCUCCCUACAAUCCAAGCGUGCCGGUACUUCCCAACAACCACUUUCACUCCCUCCACACCAUCUCCAUUCACCACCACCACCACACUAUACACUUUCCCGCCAGAAUCCAAACCAGCAGACUCCAAAGCUUCAUCGACACUCUCAUCGUCACCGAAAUCCAAAUCAACGGCUCGGAUCGCGCCGCACUUGUAAAACUUAGACGAAGAUUGCGUGCAACCCCCGUCGUCUAGGGUUAGCGAGAGAGUGAAGUUGUUGGUGCAGGCUCCGCAUUGAGAUGCUAUUCCUUUGGAGGCUAAUUUGGUAAUCUUAGAGCGAAUUGAGAGUUCAAGCUCGUCUAAAUUUAGGUCAAUUGAAGAAGAUUUGGGAUCGGAGGGGACAAGAAUGGCUUGGAAAUGGCAAGGAAAGAGGAAUGGAUUGGAGACGACGUCGUUUGAGAGGCUAUCGAUGUCGUGGAAAGGAAGCGGAGAGCGGUAGAUCUCAACGGAUUUGAAUAAAAAAGGGAAACCUAAAAGGAAGGAGACAAGGACUGUGAAAGUGAGGAAGAGGCGCUUCAACCCCGGUUUUGUUCUGCGCAUGGUUUUCGAGUCGAAUUCCGGUUCAGAUGGUGGAGUUGGCGGUGUUUCUGGUGGUGGGUCAUCUGGAGAUUCGGUGAUUUCUUCUGCCAUGUUAUUGAUCACUGAUUAGUGCUUGAUGCUCUUGCUCUUCUUUCUUUCUUGAUCAACGAGCUGUGAAGCCGCUGCAUCCAUUAAACAACGGAGAAUGAGACACUUUACUUUAUCUCUAAGAUUUUAUAGCAUAGUUAUUAAAUCCGACCGUGCACUAUGCUUGAAAUUUGUUAAUGUGCACAAGCUAAGGUUCUGUUCAAGAUUUUAGCUCUUUUUUUUUAAAAAAAAAAUUAUCAAUAAAAAAAAAAGGAUAGAACUAACGGGAAAAAAAAAUCUUUAGACCUGAUUUUUUAUUUAAUUCAAAUUUAAAAUUAAAUUAUAUAAAACUGUUCUAGUAUAAUUUAGCUUCCUCGAUUUAAAAUUAACUGUAAUUAUUAUUAAAAAAAUCAAAAGAUAAAUUUUUUAAAAAAAAGAAUAAGAGAAAAGGAGGGAAGGGGCUGAAAUGAAAAAAUAAAUAGAAGAGGAGCUUCUUGGUAACCUACUGUACUUGACUUUUUACUGUAGAAAAACAAGGGGUCUCCUUGAGACUUGAGAGCGAUGGUCAUCGACGACAAUAUUGAGCUCUAAAUUCAAAGAAAUAUGGGUAUGGUAAGCAAUCCGACGUUAUCUAUGUCUUGUUGCUAGUGUUUAUUUGUCAACGAAUCGUAAUAACACUCACCAUUCUCUCCUGCUCUUCACCAUCGCCUCUAUCGACUCCUAGCUACGCGCCUUUUACAUGUUUGUUAUAAGUUCCCAGAGAAGCCCAGAUGCGUGAAGAAUGAGAACUUACAUAAUCAAAUCUCUUUUCAAACACCCGUUUACCUUCUCUAUCACAAUCCGAUCGCAAACAACGUCAGCACAGUACGUAGCAUCGAGAGCUAGAGAUGCUACAUUUGAGAAGCUAAUGGACAAGUAUAAAAACUUUGUCAAGGUCAUUGCCAUUCAAGAUUUGAUUCUCUCAAACCCUAACAAAACCCCUCCAUGCAUUUCACUUGAUUUCCUUUCAAAACUUUCUCAGAAGCUCCACCUUAACCGCGGCGCACCUUCGUUUCUCAGAAAGUACCCUCACAUUUUCCACAUUUUCUAUGACCCCGCGAAAUCCCAGGCUUUUUGCAGACUAACUGAUACUGCUCUUGAAAUUUCUCGCAAAGAAGAAGAAGCUGUCAAUGCCUCAUUGCCUCUUGUUGUUGACCGAUUGGUUCGGCUUUUGUUUAUGUCAACGUCCAAAUCACUGCCACUUCGUGCUGUUUUUAAAGUUUGGAGGGAGCUGGGCCUUCCUGAUGACUUUGAGGAUUCGGUGAUAGUGAAAAACCCGAACCUUUUUAGACUUUGUGAUGGAAAUGAACCGCGUACACAUGUUUUGAAGCUGGUUGGUGAAUUUCCUGAUAAUCAUUUUACGGCAGCGGUUGAAAAUUGGAGGGUUACGGAGUGUUGUAGGGAGGACUGUAGUGUUGAUAGAAUGGACAUACGGUAUAGUUUUAAACAUGUGUAUCCGCCAGGAAUGAGGUUGAGCAAGACUUUCAGGGCGAAAGUUAAAGAAUGGCAGAGCUUGCCUUAUUUAGGACCCUAUGAGGACUUGAUGGAGAAGAAGAAGAAGACUAAGGCAGGACUUAAGGGAUUGGAGAAACGGGCAGUUGCUAUUGUGCAUGAAUUCUUGAGCUUGACAGUGGAGAAAAUGGUGGAAGUGGAGAAGAUCAGUCAUUUCAGGAAUUGUUUCGGGAUUGAUAUGAACAUAAGGGAUUUGUUCUUGGAUCAUCCAGGCAUGUUUUAUUUGUCUACUAAGGGGAAGAGACAUACUGUUUUCUUAAGAGAAGCGUAUGAGAGGGGUCGUUUGAUAGAUCCUAAUCCAGUUUAUGAUGUUAGGAGAAAGCUUCUUAUCUUGUUUUUCUGGGGCGCCAUGAUAUGCUGACUAGUAAAUCAAGGUCCGUGGAGAUUGACAAGAGCGAGGAGUCUGGAUCAGAAAAUGAGAAUGUUGACUGAAUUAACAAAUUUUCAGUUGUGUAAGCUUUUGUGUACACAUAGCAUGGUCCAGUCACAUAGAUUUGACGUUUUGUGGUGUAUAAUUGAAGAUUUCCAAAGUGGGGGGAGAUGAUCAUUUGAGCAGGCUCAAGCUAACCAGCUUCGAGCUAUCCAACUUGUCAUGAGUGAUGCUCUCAAACCAUUCUCCAGGAGGGCUAGGCUAACCUACUUCAAACCCACUUGUUAAAGAUAGGUUUUUAAGAUACUCAUAAACUAAAGGUGGAACCAAAAGGCUUGAACAAGAGGACUGCGGAACUUUAAGAAGGGUCCCUGGCACUAUAGGCCGCAUAAGUGAAAACAUGGCACCUGUCAUGUUUUGGGAUGGAGCUUCAUGCUGUCAAGGUUGUGCCACUGCUCUUCAACAACUUCGCUCAGAGAGCGAUGAUUUAGAGGAGCUUACAAGUUGAGAUUCUAGAGCAGUAAGCAUUUAUGCAUGUGCAAAGAUUGUGAAGGCUUAGCUUAGUUUCUGUACCCUGUUAAGUCCUGAAAGUCUGUUGAUAUAGAAGCUUCUGUUAAAUUGGGAAACAUCCAUUAAUGCAGAUGUUUCUAGUCAAGACAUCUAAGAUUUGUUGCAGAAGAAUUGGGAUGCCUUUGUUAAAUGCUCGUGUGUCUUGUGGUGUUUGUUUAUUGUAUCGGGACAUAAGAUGAAGACAAUGAAGAUUGAGAGCUGUUUCUUGAUAUUUAGUAUAAAAAUUGACUUCAAAACUACAUUGAUUGAUUAGUCAUAAUUUGAUUUCAAGAUAGCAUUUUUUUUUCCGAUAAAAAAAUAAAAGAUAAAAGGGUUAAGUGAAUAAAAUUAAAAUAAAAAAAUUAUUUACACCGGUAAAUAAAUCAUCUUUAAAACAGCAAUAAUGAUUAAUUACAAUUUAAUUUCUAAAAUUAUAGUUAUUUUUUAAUUUAGGAUUGUUUAAUAUUGUGCUAAUAAUAAUUUUUCAAAAUAUUAUUUUGUAAAAUUUAUUUUUGAUAUUAAAAUAUCAAAACAAAAAUAUUAAAAAUUUUAUUUUAAAAUAAAAAAAUAAAAAAUAUUUUUUAAAAAAAGGGUUUUGAAAUACAAAUGAGAAAGGAGCUAUAAAAACUAUUUUCAAAACAGAAAAUUAAGUUUAUAAGAACUUAAGUUACUUAUCAAUAAUAACAACAGUAGUCAAAUUAGACCAUGUGAACUCCAUUUCCCUCCCUUUUCCCAGCGGCUACUUAUCAAUUUUGUGCAAUUACAUUGAACUGUGCUAUGAAUUACUAGGUGCUUACCAUAAAAGCUGGCUUUCCAUCAAGAGUUGUAAAGAAGAAUGAGUCUGCCACCAUUUAGUUGCCUCUAGUAGUGUGUUUGUCUUGCAUUUUAAAGUGUUUUUUGAAAUACAUUUGAACUAAAAAAAAACAUGAUUUAAUUACCUAAUUAUAAUAAAAUAAAAUAAAAAAACUUGAGCUUCUUCACUAAAUAGCCCUCUAAUAAACACAGCAGCUCCAAGAAAAUUCUCAGGAAACAAUCGAUUCCUCCAUUGUCACAGAAAAUAGAAAAUAGAAAGCCUCUAAUAAGCCUUCACUGGGUCAAAUGGAUUCAAUGAUUGCUUGUAUUGUGAACAGUUUUCUUCCUUGGGUGUUUGGUAUUUUUUGGCAUUUGUGAUGGGGUUUAAAACCUUUGGAAGGAACUAGGACGUGGCCUGUAAGUAUUAGCAAAUGAUUAGAUACACGCAGCAGCCAAACUGGAAGAUAAAUACCCAAAGUGCAGCCCCUUGCUCAUUGAAUUGCCUCUGCGAUGUCAUCUGGAACCCUUCUCUCCGGCAGAUGGGGCCUUGUUCAUGAAAAAUCACUUCCACGGCUAGUAACUAAGAUGCCACCUUUUCUUUAGCCUUCCAUAGCAAGUACUUUGCCUUUUCUUGCUUGUAUCUUCUCCAUUCUCUUAAUGCAGCAGGGAGGACAAGCAUUGAAACUGGCAAGAAGAAUGGCUGUGGAAAUAGUACCAAAACCACGUGUAAGAAUAAAUCUGGGCUAUUAAAAAACUUGACAGUGGUAUUCUACAGAAAUUUGUUAGUAUAGGAAACUCGAAUAGGAUAAAGAACAAAAAAAAUAGCUCCCAGAAACAUACCGAGUACACUGCAAAACAGUGCUCAAACGAGUAGUAGCUGACAGACAUGAUUGAUGGGUGGAAGAAGGCAUCCUCUGCCAAAGAUCUUGCUUGUCUUGAGGACACUGAGACAACAAGAUUAAACUCAUAUUUAGGCUCCCCUUGAUGAUUCAAAGUUUUGACAGGAAAUCCUCAUCAGAAGGAACAAGAAUGGAACUGCAAAGUAGUGCAUAGGAACAUACCAGCUGAAGCAUCGUAAAAUCCAAGAGAGGCGUUAACUCUAGCUAAUUUUGCUGCUUCAAGGGAAAAUUUUACCUGUACAAAGAGAUGAAAUAUCACGACAAAUGACAACUCAAGCAGGACAAGAUUCAAAUGAUAAUAAGCAAUGACAAUUGUAAAUUCCAGGAAAAAAAUCAUUAGGUAAAAUUGGAAUAAAAAGAUUAACAGGCCUUGGGAAUGAAAUGGCCAAGACUAACAUAGAAUAUAUACGAAAGAACAAGGUGAUUAUAUGUUACAGUAACAGAGUUGGUCCCACGUUCCUGCUAAUGUAUCAGGAAAUUAAGAUGCACUGUUUGUAUCGGGAGGAACCUUCUAGGAAUAGGAAUUGAUUUUGUUUUAAAAGAAAUGAACUUUUCCAUAAAAGAGACUUUGAUUGAAAAUAACAGAGACCAUUUAUGGCCAGAAGAUAUUUAGAUAUUAAAUAAUUUUAAAAAGACUUUGAAAAAGGAAAUUAUUUUAUAAAAUCCAAAAAAGGUCAUAACAAGUCUUGGCUCAAAAAUAGGAAAUAUUUACUAUAUCCUCAUUUUAUUAGGACUAAAAAAUAAAUGCUUAAAGAAAUACUCAAGGAGAUUUACAAGUCAUGAUAUUGUCAGAAAGCAGCCCAAUUGAUACUUUUCUGAAUUCUCAUUUUUUACAGUAAAAUACAAA
rnacentral:lncRNA from 1 species